GUUGCCCAGUCUGCACCGCCCCACUGCAGCCAGCUCGCGCUCCUGAGGCCCCGGCCCACUCACCGCGCCAGCCCGCCGCCGCCCUCGCUCGCUCGCCCCGCGCCCUUCGCGCCGCCGGAAGUGCAGGCCGAGCCGUUCGCCUGCGCCGCGCGGUCGCUCUAGGAUCUUGGCGGAGUGACCCUCUAUGCUCACGGGCCCAGCGGAAAAAAGCAACUUUUCGUUUCUUCCUGUCGUUUUGUUUUCCUCUCCUACCCCUGGAAGGCGUCCUGUGGCCCCCAGGACCACAAGACCUUUGAGAUGGAGGAGCCACCCACAGGGCCGACGAGCUGCAGCCUGUGUGUCACGGCUUUUGAAACGCAACACCAGCCUAUCCCACCCUGAGACUUCAUUCUUUUACAAAUAUUGUUUAAUUAUUAUAUAGAGGUACUUUUGGAGAGCCUAAACUGUUCCCGAUAUUUUUCAUGAGUCAACUUAUUUGAUUAUACCAAAAAGCCCUUACAAAAUGGGAACGAUCAUACUCAUUUUACGGCCAACCUCCUCCUCCGCCAACCUAACCUGUGCUGGGUCACCCCAUCUCCUCUCUUCUCUCCGGGCCCUCGUUUGCCUGCAGAACUCCUUCAGUCUAAUGGCUUCAGAUACCAUCUGUAGUCGCUGAAGACUCCCUAACUGGUAACUCCAGUCCAACCUUGGGAUGCAAAUAUUACUGAACUCUAGAUUUAUAUAUCCAGUUAAUUACUCAAUGCCAUUUGCACGUGUGAUGGACAUCCCGAACCUAACAUACCCCCAGAUAUUCACCUAACCUGAUAGAAGAUCUUUCUGGGAAAACUGGGUCAAGAGAGGCCAGAUCCCUUAGUGGCUGGGGUUCCUCUGGGAAACGGCUCGCAGUGGGGUCCAGUGUGUCCCUGAGUCCAGUUGUAUUUGAAAGGCUCAUUCUAGGAAGAAGAGGCUUCUGGGCUGAGAACAGUCUUGGCAAGACAGCUUCCUUUUACUAUGGCUUUGUCCCUUGCACCCCACUCCCUUGCAGACAGACAGAGACACACACCAAAAAGCACUGUCUCAACAGGGAGCACUGCUGCCUUGGGUCUGCAUUUGGCAACAAUGCAAAAGAAGCCGGUCACAUGUGUGGUCCAAGGGCCAAGUGCAGUAAGGAGCAGUCUAUCUCCCAUGAAGGGCCCCUGAACAAGGGUUCUGUCCACCAAGUCUGAGACUUUGCUUUCUGUUUCCUUUGGGUUCUCUGGGAAAGGAAACUCUGGGAAUUCCCAUUCCUGAGUUUGCAGAAAACAUCUCUGUUAAAAACCCAGCCAGGAGGGAGCAGAGCCCCACCGGAAUGCUGGGAGUCCAAGGGCGGGUCAGCAGCUGGCUUUCUCCCAGACAAUCACAGCUCAUGGGGGCUAAAUACAGCACUUGUACUUGCUGGUUUUACAUUUGGAAAGGCUUGAGUCCGACUGCCUUUCCUGCCCGAUCAUGGCUGAGGGACUGAGGGGCAGGGAGGCUGCUGCCCAGCAGGGCAUCUGACAAAAAUAUCCCACUGCUGCUUUGCAGCUGCAGGGCACCUGUGUCCUGCCCACAUGGGCACAUUGUGUAUUGCCAGCUUCUCCACAGAUCACCUGAUCCGACAGGAUAAGCCUCGUGCUUUGUUUCCCUAGGACUAAGGGGCCAGAUGUAUCCUGGGUGGACAAACAGCAUUAUUUUAACAGUGGGAAGGUCUUUAAUCCAUUUUCUUGUAAACAUUCUAAGCAGGUAGCAUAUGGUUAUCACCAUGGGAAAAACAAGCUCUUUUUUGGUUCCUUCUGGUAAUUUGCUCUGGGCAAAUCACCCUGUUUUUCCUGAGUUCAGAUCUUCUUUUGCAAUCAUGUUGAUUUUAUCCUGUGUUUAUGAUUUUCCCUGGUUCCGGAGGCCUGACCUGGGAAGACCGUCCUGUUUUAGGAGAGGACACUCAUCACAGGAAUUCUUCACUUUAUCUUUGGAUAACAUUUACUACCUGCGAUACCAGUGAGUUAAGCAACAUAUGACAAAUAAUCUAUGCUCUGUGGAGAGAGGCACAUGGAACUCCCAUACAAACCAUCAGGAAACCGCAGAGCCAAACAGAGAAAGUCAGGUGGCCUGGAACCAACCCUGCAACAUCUCUGAGCGGCCGAUUCAGCAGUCUUAAAUCCAAGGAAGAGGCUGUCCUGCUUUCCUCCCACGCCCAGCACUGCUCUGUGUGUACCAGGAUGGGAGGAUGGAGCCCAUUCUUACCUCAAAGGCAACUACGAUUGCUGGGAGGAAAGAUUAAGCUGAAUUUUAGGAAAAGCAUUCAAUAGACAGGAACGUAAGGGAAGACAGGUGUCCAGGGGGCCUGGCAACACUGCCAGGUGUUGUGUGGUGGACACUGCCCUGAUGAUGUGUGAUCAUGUCCUUCAGUGAAGGCCCAGCUCCGAGAGGAACAGUGGCUGAAGGAGCGGGGAAUGGGGAAGUGGACUUGGGGAGGCCAGGCCUGCUCAGUUAUCAGACCUGUGCUGUGCAGCACUGGACACAGGGCCAUGCAGUACAAGUUCUGCAACAGCAGUUCUCAGUGGGCGAGGGGCUUCUGUUCCACCUUGAAGACCCAGAUGCACAUUCCUCCCCACUCCCUGCUGAACCUACUGGAGAGAGUGGCUUACCAUGUGGUUUUGGUGGGAUUCUCAAAGGGAUGACAAUGUGCCUGGAUUUGGGCCUGGGAGGGAUGCUCGUGGUGGGGGCAUAGCAUGUCCCGAGGCCAGGAGGGCACCUGCCCCGUGCCCGCUGCACAAGCCAGCCCAGCCCCCAGAGAAGGAGCACAGCUGGUGAGCUUGCCAAAUGGACAGGGACUUUUGUUUUUAUGAUCAGGAAGCAAAGGCAGAC